UACGUAGGGGGCUAGCGUUGCCCGGAUUUAUUGGGCGUAAAGAGCGUGUAGGCGGCCAAGUAGGUCCGGUGUGAAAACUCGAGGCUUAACCUCGAGAUGUCAUCGGAAACCAUUUGGCUAGAGUCCGGAAGAGGAAAGUGGAAUUCCUGGUGUAGCGGUGAAAUGCGCAGAUAUCAGGAAGAACACCCAAUGGCGAAAGCAGCUUUCU
rnacentral:rRNA from 1 species